CCGCUCAAGUCUAUCGAGAGUGAUCGAGAGUCCUAUUUUCCAAUAUGAGAGUCUUGUGCUUCGUGUCAUAAUUAACAGUUUGUUCAAUAGAAAACUAUACUAAUGUACACCAUUUGUUAUUAAUUAUGUAAAAGUGGUAUAUAAAUAUUGUGACUAUAUGGUUUGAAGAAAAUAUAAGUGUGAAGGAAGAUAAAACCUUCUUUGGACCAAAUUGAAGUGUUUUAAAAUUAAUAAGAGAUAUUUUUAACUUAAUACAAACGUGAAAUAGACAAAAUUGUUGGUACGAAGUCAAAGAGGUUAAGUGAACGCGUGGAAGAGAUGAAGGGAAGCUACCCAAGGAAAGAAUUGUGCAGUUAAUUCAAGAGUGUGUUACAAAGUUUACAAAUUGGGACUUCAAGUUAGCAUCAUUAAUUAUGGCUUCCAUUAUGGCAUAGUGAAUAUAUGACUGAAUGCGGUCAUUGCUUUUUCUGUAGGAACAGAAAGUCCUCCUCUUUAAUGGGACCCAUAACCAGAUACGUAAAUUUUAAUGGAAUCAUCAACAACACAAGUGGAUAAAUAUUCAGUUUCGAAGAUUCCCAGAAAAACAAGUUACAUCAAUGGAAAGUUUUAGUCUAAUAUUUUUCUCUGCAUGAACUACUUCAUUGUAUGAAACGUGAUAAUUAUGUUACGUAUACAGAAACUCUCCGUUUUUAGAAGCUCGCGUUCAUUAAUCUUAUUUUAUCUACCCUUCUGGAAUUUGGAGCUCGGUCUCACUGGAGUGCAUCCUGCAGCUGCAUCCUUUUAAUAUCAUCUUUGACUCGCGUUGCGUGGGAUACUUUCUAAUCUACCCUUUUCCCAGGGCACACAGCUGCCGACCUCAGAGCAACGAAAAUCCUAACCGUCAAAUUUCCUAAUAUGGAAAUCACUGACGGUUCCCGACCAACAUUUAGGGGUAUAUAAACCCACGAUUUUCGUUGCUCGGGGGCUAGUACGAAAGAGUUACUCGUUAGAGACACAUUGAUCAUCUGCAGAGUAGUACUCUAGUGAGAUCGGGCUUCAGUUCCUUUCGAUCGUCGUUACCAUAUAGAUCCGCGAAGACGGUUUUAAAAUCUAUUACGGCCAUAAAAGUACUCUCGACCCCCGCAUCGCCAGUGCGUCAACACCGCGCAACACUUAGGUAAUUUUAACUUCAUACACUAACCGCGACAACACGACACUGGACACUUGUAAUUAGUAUAGUUAUUUUGAAUAUAUACUCUUUGUGUAAACUUAAAUGUCUGUAAGAUCAAUCAUCAAACCUUUACUUUGAAAUCACCAAUCCUAGCCAGUGUAACGAUCCCACAACAUAAUAACUUUACCGCUCGAGUUAUUAUUCUAUUAAAUUAACAAGUUGCGAGGCUUUAUCCGCGACGCGUAGUAUUCAUUAUCGAUACGAUUUAGUCACUGUGUACUCAACCCGAACUCCUAAACUUAACCUAUCCUGCGGUUACCCUUUACUGGGAGAUACCGAUUCCUAGCAGCUAUCUGACUUCGCGUCAGAGUCGUCUGCACUUUUUCCAACAACCUCACAGUUCGAACCUUACCCUACGGUUACCCUUUACUGGGAGAUACCAAUUCCCAGCAGCAACCUGACUUCGCGUCAGAGGCGUCUGCGUUUGUCUCCAAUAACCAAGACAACCAAACACCUUACCCUACGGUUACCCUUCACUGGGAGAUACCGAUUCCUGCAGCUAUCUGACUUCUCGUCAGAGUCGUCUGCAUUGUCUAAUCUAUCCUCAAAUCUUCGGCACCAUUGAUACACAAUAAAUAAUCGUAUUGGUUCAAUUCUCAAAUCUACCCCACUCGCUGGGCUCACACGCGCGUCGCUAUCGCCCUGGCUCGUAACAAUUACAACCAAAUAAAAGUUUAUAGUUUCCAAAUCGUUUCUCUAAUUUUUUAGUUCACAAUUUUCCUGCUAAAAGAUAAGAUAUGUCAAAAGUUUGAAAAUAGUACUACUCUAUGAGUAGUAAAAGAACUCUAGUACUUUGAUGUAAAGCUUUCCAAAAAUCUAACCAUGUUAAA